GGGUUGUGAGGUUAAGCGACUAAGCGUACACGGUGGAUGCCCUGGCAGUCAGAGGCGAUGAAGGACGUGCUAAUCUGCGAUAAGCGUCGGUAAGGUGAUAUGAACCGUUAUAACCGGCGAUUUCCGAAUGGGGAAACCCAGUGUGAUUCGUCACACUAUCAUUAACUGAAUCCAUAGGUUAAUGAGGCGAACCGGGGGAACUGAAACAUCUAAGUACCCCGAGGAAAAGAAAUCAACCGAGAUUCCCCCAGUAGCGGCGAGCGAACGGGGAGGAGCCCAGAGCCUGAAUCAGUGUGUGUGUUAGUGGAAGCGUCUGGAAAGGCGCGCGAUACAGGGUGACAGCCCCGUACACAAAAAUGCACAUGCUGUGAGCUCGAUGAGUAGGGCGGGACACGUGGUAUCCUGUCUGAAUAUGGGGGGACCAUCCUCCAAGGCUAAAUACUCCUGACUGACCGAUAGUGAACCAGUACCGUGAGGGAAAGGCGAAAAGAACCCCGGCGAGGGGAGUGAAAAAGAACCUGAAACCGUGUACGUACAAGCAGUGGGAGCCUCUUUAUGGGGUGACUGCGUACCUUUUGUAUAAUGGGUCAGCGACUUAUAUUCUGUAGCAAGGUUAACCGAAUAGGGGAGCCGAAGGGAAACCGAGUCUUAACUGGGCGUUAAGUUGCAGGGUAUAGACCCGAAACCCGGUGAUCUAGCCAUGGGCAGGUUGAAGGUUGGGUAACACUAACUGGAGGACCGAACCGACUAAUGUUGAAAAAUUAGCGGAUGACUUGUGGCUGGGGGUGAAAGGCCAAUCAAACCGGGAGAUAGCUGGUUCUCCCCGAAAGCUAUUUAGGUAGCGCCUCGUGAAUUCAUCUCCGGGGGUAGAGCACUGUUUCGGCAAGGGGGUCAUCCCGACUUACCAACCCGAUGCAAACUGCGAAUACCGGAGAAUGUUAUCACGGGAGACACACGGCGGGUGCUAACGUCCGUCGUGAAGAGGGAAACAACCCAGACCGCCAGCUAAGGUCCCAAAGUCAUGGUUAAGUGGGAAACGAUGUGGGAAGGCCCAGACAGCCAGGAUGUUGGCUUAGAAGCAGCCAUCAUUUAAAGAAAGCGUAAUAGCUCACUGGUCGAGUCGGCCUGCGCGGAAGAUGUAACGGGGCUAAACCAUGCACCGAAGCUGCGGCAGCGACGCUUAUGCGUUGUUGGGUAGGGGAGCGUUCUGUAAGCCUGUGAAGGUGUGCUGUGAGGCAUGCUGGAGGUAUCAGAAGUGCGAAUGCUGACAUAAGUAACGAUAAAGCGGGUGAAAAGCCCGCUCGCCGGAAGACCAAGGGUUCCUGUCCAACGUUAAUCGGGGCAGGGUGAGUCGACCCCUAAGGCGAGGCCGAAAGGCGUAGUCGAUGGGAAACAGGUUAAUAUUCCUGUACUUGGUGUUACUGCGAAGGGGGGACGGAGAAGGCUAUGUUGGCCGGGCGACGGUUGUCCCGGUUUAAGCGUGUAGGCUGGUUUUCCAGGCAAAUCCGGAAAAUCAAGGCUGAGGCGUGAUGACGAGGCACUACGGUGCUGAAGCAACAAAUGCCCUGCUUCCAGGAAAAGCCUCUAAGCAUCAGGUAACAUCAAAUCGUACCCCAAACCGACACAGGUGGUCAGGUAGAGAAUACCAAGGCGCUUGAGAGAACUCGGGUGAAGGAACUAGGCAAAAUGGUGCCGUAACUUCGGGAGAAGGCACGCUGAUAUGUAGGUGAAGCGACUUGCUCGUGGAGCUGAAAUCAGUCGAAGAUACCAGCUGGCUGCAACUGUUUAUUAAAAACACAGCACUGUGCAAACACGAAAGUGGACGUAUACGGUGUGACGCCUGCCCGGUGCCGGAAGGUUAAUUGAUGGGGUCAGCGCAAGCGAAGCUCUUGAUCGAAGCCCCGGUAAACGGCGGCCGUAACUAUAACGGUCCUAAGGUAGCGAAAUUCCUUGUCGGGUAAGUUCCGACCUGCACGAAUGGCGUAAUGAUGGCCAGGCUGUCUCCACCCGAGACUCAGUGAAAUUGAACUCGCUGUGAAGAUGCAGUGUACCCGCGGCAAGACGGAAAGACCCCGUGAACCUUUACUAUAGCUUGACACUGAACAUUGAGCCUUGAUG
rnacentral:rRNA from 1 species